rnacentral:tRNA from 1 species
GGACGGGUGGCCUAAUGUUAGAGGAACCCGAAAACUCCCCCAACAGCAACAACUGCUAACGAUUUGUAGGGUUAAGGCGUCGGUUUUCGGCUUAUGUUGACCACCGAAGAUUGGGAGUUCGAAUCUCCUCUCGUUCG